UACGUAGGGUGCGAGCGUUAAUCGGAAUUACUGGGCGUAAAGCGUGCGCAGGCGGUUUUGUAAGCCAGAUGUGAAAUCCCCGGGCUCAACCUGGGAAUGGCAUUUGGGACUGCAAGGCUCGAGUUUGGCAGAGGAGACUGGAAUUCCUGGUGUAGCAGUGAAAUGCGUAGAUAUCAGGAGGAAUACCGAUGGCGAAGGCAGCUCGCUGGGACGGUACUGACGCUGAGACGCGAAAGCGUGGGGAGCAAACAGG
rnacentral:rRNA from 1 species